AAUUAAACGAGAUAUCUUGCGCGUGCUUUCGACGAAGAAUUACGUCGUACAUUCGAUAAUCGUGUUUGCCUGUCUCUUGUGCCGUAAACACUUGAUCAGCUGACGCAAUAAAUUGAUAAUCGUGAUCUUUGUUGGGCGAAAUAUAUACAAAUAAUAAAAUAUCGAUGGAUUUGCAAGUUUGAAGUAAACGACUAAACAUGUGCACGUAUAUAAAACUGUCGAAUGGAAAAUGUGAGAUACAGGUGUAUUUGGAUUUCAUUAAAAUUAUAAUAAUAUAUC